AGAGUUUGAUCCUGGCUCAGGAUGAACGCUAGCGGCAGGCCUAACACAUGCAAGUCGAGGGGCAUCACGAGGUAGCAAUACUUUGGUGGCGACCGGCGCACGGGUGCGUAACGCGUAUGUAACCUACCUAUAACAGGGGCAUAACACUGAGAAAUUGGUACUAAUUCCCCAUAAUAUUCGGAGAGGCAUCUCUCCGGGUUGAAAACUCCGGUGGUUAUAGAUGGACAUGCGUUGUAUUAGCUAGUUGGUGAGGUAACGGCUCACCAAGGCAACGAUACAUAGGGGGACUGAGAGGUUAACCCCCCACACUGGUACUGAGACACGGACCAGACUCCUACGGGAGGCAGCAGUGAGGAAUAUUGGUCAAUGGACGCAAGUCUGAACCAGCCAUGCCGCGUGCAGGAAGACGGCUCUAUGAGUUGUAAACUGCUUUUGUACGAGGGUAAACGCAGAUACGUGUAUCUGUCUGAAAGUAUCGUACGAAUAAGGAUCGGCUAACUCCGUGCCAGCAGCCGCGGUAAUACGGAGGAUUCAAGCGUUAUCCGGAUUUAUUGGGUUUAAAGGGUGCGUAGGCGGUUUGAUAAGUUAGAGGUGAAAUUUCGGGGCUCAACCCUGAACGUGCCUCUAAUACUGUUGAGCUAGAGAGUAGUUGCGGUAGGCGGAAUGUAUGGUGUAGCGGUGAAAUGCUUAGAGAUCAUACAGAACACCGAUUGCGAAGGCAGCUUACCAAACUAUAUCUGACGUUGAGGCACGAAAGCGUGGGGAGCAAACAGGAUUAGAUACCCUGGUAGUCCACGCAGUAAACGAUGAUAACUCGUUGUCGGCGAUACACAGUCGGUGACUAAGCGAAAGCGAUAAGUUAUCCACCUGGGGAGUACGUUCGCAAGAAUGAAACUCAAAGGAAUUGACGGGGGCCCGCACAAGCGGAGGAACAUGUG
rnacentral:rRNA from 2 species